GGAUUCGUAGCUUAGCUGGUAGAGCGCUUGCCGCGUAGAGGCAUGGUGUUUCUGUCGCUGGUUCGAAUCCAGCCGAAGCCC
rnacentral:tRNA from 1 species